UACAGAGGGUGCGAGCGUUAAUCGGAAUUACUGGGCGUAAAGCGUGCGUAGACGGUUAUUUAAGUCGGGUGUGAAAGCCCCGGGCUCAACCUGGGAAUUGCAUUCGAGACUGAAUAGCUAGGGUACGGUAGAGGGAAGCGGAAUUUCCGGUGUAGCGGUGAAAUGCGUAGAUAUCGGAAGGAACAUCAGUGGCGAAAGCGGCUUCCUGGACCGACACUGACGCUGAGGCGCGAAAGCUAGGGGAGCAAACGGG
rnacentral:rRNA from 1 species